GCCGGGCGUGGUGGCUCAUGCCUGUAAUCCCUGCACUUGGGAGGCAGAAGGGGGUGGAUCACCUGAGGUCAGGAGUUCGAGACCAGCCUGACCAACAUGGUGAAAACCCAUAUCUA
rnacentral:SRP_RNA from 1 species